CAAUAGCGUAUAUUAAUGUUGUUGCUGUUAAAAAGCUCGUAGUUGGAUUCGGAGCAGCGGGUCAGGCGCGGCCAUCUUGUGGUACCCUCCGGGGUCUCCGCUUGGUGGAUUCACCGAGUCUACAUAACCCCUGCUCUCUUUACGCGGAAACGAUCGCCUUGUGGAGGUCACAUUAAGUUAUGGCCUGCACAACCUACGCGCGUACCACGCGCUCAAGGGCCGUCCGCGGUUGUCACUGUGAACAAAACAGCGUGUCCCAAGCAAUCGUUGCGAUUUGAAUGACGAAGCAUGGAAUGACAAGGGCUUACCAUCGUGUGGAGCUUUUGUUGGUCUCUCAACCUCCGGUGGAGAAUCGGACACGUGCUCGGGACCGUCUCUCUACGGAGAGCGGCUCCCCCACGGUCCUAGGGAUCAAUAGAGACUGCCGGGGUGGUACGUAUUUCCUGGCCAGGGGUGAAAUCCUUAGACCCAGGGAAGACGAACAACAGCGAAGGCAUUCCACCAGAAUGU
rnacentral:rRNA from 1 species